GAUGAACGCUAGCUACAGGCUUAACACAUGCAAGUCGAGGGGAAACGAUAUUGGAAGCUUGCUUCCGAUAGGCGUCGACCGGCGCACGGGUGAGUAACGCGUAUCCAACCUGCCCACCACUUGGGGAUAAUCUUGCGAAAGUAAGACUAAUACCCGAUGAUAUCCCUAGAAGACAUCUGAAAGGGAUUAAAGAUUUAUCGGUGAUGGAUGGGGAUGCGUCUGAUUAGCUUGUUGGCGGGGUAACGGCCCACCAAGGCAACGAUCAGUAGGGGUUCUGAGAGGAAGGUCCCCCCACAUUGGAACUGAGACACGGUCCAAACUCCUACGGGAGGCAGCAGUGAGGAAUAUUGGUCAAUGGACGUAAGUCUGAACCAGCCAAGUAGCGUGCAGGAUGACGGCCCUAUGGGUUGUAAACUGCUUUUAUGCGGGGAUAAAGUGAGGGACGUGUCCCUUUUUGCAGGUACCGCAUGAAUAAGGACCGGNUAAUUCCGUG
rnacentral:rRNA from 1 species